rnacentral:tRNA from 1 species
GGCAUUCUAUCUUAANCUACUCUCUG